rnacentral:rRNA from 1 species
UACGUAGGGCGCAAGCGUUGUCCGGAAUUAUUGGGCGUAAAGAGCUCGUAGGCGGCUUGUCACGUCGGGUGUGAAAGCCCGGGGCUUAACCCCGGGUCUGCAUUCGAUACGGGCUGGCUAGAGUGUGGUAGGGGAGAUCGGAAUUCCUGGUGUAGCGGUGAAAUGCGUAGAUAUCUGGAGGAACACCGGUGGCGAAGGCGGCAUCCUGGACCGGCAUUGACGCUGAGGCGCGAAAGCCAGGGGAGCAAACGGG